rnacentral:rRNA from 1 species
AACGAACGCUGGCGGCAUGCCUAACACAUGCAAGUCGAACGAGACCUUCGGGUAUAGUGGCGCACGGGUGCGUAACGCGUGGGAACCUGCCCUUAGGUUCGGAAUAACUCCCCGAAAGGGGUGCUAAUACCGGAUAAUGUCUUCGGACCAAAGAUUUAUCGCCUUUGGAUGGGCCCGCGUUGGAUUAGCUAGUUGGUAGGGUAAAAGCCUACCAAGGCGACGAUCCAUAGCUGGUCUGAGAGGAUGAUCAGCCACACUGGGACUGAGACACGGCCCAGACUCCUUCGGGAGGCAGCAGUGGGGAAUAUUGGACAAUGGGCGAAAGCCUGAUCCAGCAAUGCCGCGUGAGUGAUGAAGGCCUUAGGGUUGUAAAGCUCUUUUACCCGGGAUGAUAAUGACAGUACCGGGAGAAUAAGCUCCGGCUAACUCCGU